GAGACAUAUGGCUCUGCUAGGGUUUUUGCCUCCUUCUACCAGGUCGCUGGUUCUCUAUUCCUCUCCCUCUAUGGUCCCUAUCUCUGAUCAUCGAGCACUGUCGUUGGUUCUCUGCUCCUCACCGUGCGCCGUCGCUACUGCUCUGCUCCUCCCCAUGUCUCGAGGUCGUUGGUGGGUGAUCUCGCCGUGUCUUGCUUCCGUGUCUGCUCGAAGUCGAAGCAACAUUUCUUCUCUUGUCUGGACUCACUCUGGUUCUCUGCUUUAGUUCGGUAGUUCAAUUCAGGCCAAGCAGCACCUUGCCCUUCUAUGUUUGGGAGAGAUUGGUAGGAGGAAGGAUCUUAGUGCACAUGCCAUAUAGAAAAUAUUGUCAUUGAAUCCUUCCAAUCUCCUUUUGAAGAGAUAAAGUCUGCUGCCUCUUAUGCUCUUGGUAAUAUCGCUAUUGGCAACCUUCCAAAAAACUUGCCCGUUUAUCUUGGAUCAGAUUGAUAAUCAGCAGAAGAAACAGUAUUUCUUGCUUCAUUCUUUGAAGGAGGUGUGGCCCAAUGUAUGGUUGUUCUGUGCCUUGCUGUUGGGGAUCAGAAGUGUUCAUUGAUGCAUUCGCAUUUUAGUUAGAUUAGCUAGGUAGUUUAAGUAGUUUUAGCUUAAUUUCAUGCAUUUUAUUCAAAAUAAACAAGCAUUUGAAUGAAGUUUCUUAUUAUACACUAAUAUAUCAAGGACUAAGUGAUUUUGUAGUUGAUUCUAUGCAAAUGACAUAAGAAAGUGUUGAAUAGUUGAAUUAUAAAAAUUGGAUACAUUAUAUUUCGCUUC